GACGAACCGUGCAAACGUUGUUCGGAAUCACUGGGCUUAAAGGGCGCGUAGGCGGGCUCUCAAGUCGGGGGUGAAAUCGUUCGGCCCAACCGGACAAGGGCUUCCGAUACUGAGAGUCUCGAGGGAGGUAGGGGUCGAGGGAACUGGUGGUGGAGCGGUGAAAUGCGUAGAUAUCACUAGGAACGCCGGUGGCGAAAGCGCUCGACUGGACCUCUUCUGACGCUGAGGCGCGAAAGCCAGGGGAGCAAACGGG
rnacentral:rRNA from 2 species